rnacentral:misc_RNA from 1 species
GAUGAAGAACGCAGCGAAAUGCGAUAAGUAAUGUGAAUUGCAGAAUUCAGUGAAUCAUCGAAUCUUUGAACGCACGUUGCGCCCGCCAGUAUUCUGGCGGGCAUGCCUGUUCGAGCGUCAUUUCAACCAUCAAGCCCCCGGCUUGUGUUGGGGACCUGCGGCUGCCGCAGGCCCUGAAAAGCAGUGGCGGGCUCGCUGUCACACCGAGCGUAGUAGCAUACAUCUCGCUCUGGGCGUGCUGCGGGUUCCGGCCGUUAAACCACCUUCAUAACCCAAGGUUGACCUCGGAUCAGGUAGGAAGACCCGCUGAACUUAAGCAUAUCAAUAAGCGGAGGA